rnacentral:lncRNA from 1 species
GGACAUAUGGAAGUUGGGAAGUCCUUACCCAAAAUUGCCAACAAGUAGAUUGCUUUGCUUUUAAUGACUCAGAUUGUUGGCGCUCCAAACCAUAGGGAGAUACAUCUUUUACACUGAAAAAGAGCAUUCGGUCAUUAGCAGACGUUAUACACUUUUGUUUGGUUUUUUCUUUUAGUUAACAGUCUAAUACCAAGCCAUCAUUUAUGUAUGUGGGCAGGUUUUUCAGAGGAUUGGUUAAGUCUGCUCCAUUCUCAUCAUCGACUACAGAGUUUUUCAACUCCCCACCCCCCAAUCAUCCUCCUAAAGAAGGUUGUAGAUAUUUCCCCUUAAUGACCACCCCAAUAUACAAAUUUAAUACUUCAGAUAUACUGUAUGUAUAUAUGUCUGUGCUUUAUGGCUAAAAAAGAAAUGCUAGAAUUUCAUCGUCUCCCCCACCUUCCCUGCCCCCUGUAAGAGUUGAGACUGUGUGGUCUAGACAAAAGGCCCCAAAGGGCUGAAGCUAACCUCAGCAUCUUCUUUUUUUUGGGGGGGGGUCUUUUUGCCAUUUUUUGGGCUGCUCCCAUGGCAUAUGGAGGUUCCCCAGGCUGGCAGCUAUAGCUCCAAUUUGACCCCUAGCCUGGGAGCCUCCAUAUGCUGCAGGAGCGGCAGAAAUGGCAAAAAGACAAAAAAAAAAAAAAAAGCUUUUCUCCAUAAAAUGGUUUGGAGACCUAGGUUCUUUCUGUUGGGAACCUCUGCUAUCUCUUGGGACCUUGACGUCCUCUGGGUCCAGCCAUCAGGUGGGGGGAUGGGACAGAUUGCAUGUUGGCACGAGUCAUGCUUGGAAGUGACAGCCUACAUCACUUCCCUGCCCGUGUCAUUGACUAGAAUGCAUUCCUGUGGAGUCCCUGUGUGGCUUAGCAGGUUAAGAACCUGAAAUAAUGUCCGUGAGGAUUCGAGUUUGAUCCCUAGCCUUGCUCAGUGGGUUAAGGAUCCAGCAUUGCCACAGUGUGUGGCGUAAGUUGCAGAUACAGCUUGGAGGCUGCAUUGCUGUGAUUGUGGCGUAGGCUGGUAGCUGCAGCUCCAAUUCAACCCCCAGCCUGGGGACUUCCAUAAGCUGCAGGUGUGGCCCUAAAAAAAAAAAAAA